CACUAAUUGCUAAAUACAUGUGGUUACUGAAAACCUAAAAUAAUAUAGCACACACUCUAUUUAAAGAAGUCAAAGAAUUUGUGCUAUUAGGAGCUGGGAGAAGAUUAACAGUGUUUAAAUACCUGGGUAAACAAAGCCUGCGGUGCACUUUUUAAAGCACAGACUGUGGGGAGUUCCUCAUUUGCCGAGGGAGAGGGUGUAACCCACACUCAGAACCUGUGAUCGCCGCCACAGCCUGUCUGGAGUGUGACACCCCUCCAGGGUGGCCUGGCACCAGGAGCUGUGCUGGCACUGGGGUUUGCAUCUGGGCAUCAUCAAGGCCCUGUCAGACAGUGGUCCCAGCUUGCUGAGCUGCUGGGAGCUGGGGCCAGGGGAGGUCGAAGGUCACUGAGACCCUGCCCCUCCUCUCUCUGCUGCCUGGCCUCCAUGUGGGGGGCAGCCACCUCCACCACGUGGUGCCUCCAGUGAUGUCCCUGGUCCAAACCCACAUGGCUGGGAGACCACGGCCUGAUGCUUCUGAAGGAGGAUCCAGACAGAGCUUUCUCUCCCACAAGUCGACCAUCAGGCAUUUGUCCAACAACUGAGCGCUGACUGAUGCUUGGGCCUGGCCUGGCCUGCACUUAGGAGUCCAGGUAACGCUUGCGGCCUCCAGCUGUGAGCAUAGGUCAGGAGCUGGUGCCUGGGUUCUGUCGGCCACUCUGACUAACUUCUGGGUUGUGUUUUCUCCCUUGGGUUUGGUCCCAGGGAGGCCUGAGGAGCAGGAGGACAGGAGCAUGGAUGGACUCACUAUCCCCAUGACUGAUGGCGCCUGGAGAGAUCUCCCUGCCCCUCGAUUCUGUUCCUGCUGCAAGGAGCUAUUUCCGGCCCAGUCUCCAGGUGGGAGGGGGCCAGCCUGGUGUCUGCACAGCGUACCAUGGAUGAGACUGAGAUGAAGCCGGAGUAUCCAGUGGUAGAGGCUGCUGACUGCGAGCCAGCUGUGCAGAGACACUGUGGUCGGGCCAUGCAUCCACUUGCCCACACUGAGAGAGAAAAUACCAGUGGAGAUGAAAGUUCGUGCGUGACUGACACGAGAAUCAAGUUUGAGGAGCCUGCAGCGUGCAGGUAUGUGCGGCAGACAGGAUGUGCCAGGCACCAUGGCUUCGGGAGAGCGGGGCACCAUCUGGUCCCCAGGGACCCACAGCCUGGAGAGUGUGGCUCUGCCUGGGGGCCCAGCAUUGCCAUGGUUUUGAUGUGGCUUGUUCCUGCAGGAAACCCUGGUGAAACUCUACCCCUGUACGAGAUGCGGUGGGGCCGGUGGGGCCUUUAGGAGUGGACAUUGGUUCAUUCGCAGGUGCCUGGAUCAGUGGGUCACUUCCAGUGGAGAGCAAGGUCUCUGGCAUCUCCUGUCUGUCCUACGUGAUCCCAGUGCCACCUUGCAUCAAAGCAACAAGGCUGCCACUGGACAGUGCCCUCGAACUUAGACCAGAGCCAGAGCCAAAAUAAACCCUGUUUUUCUAGAACGUUCCCAGUUUAUGUGCUGUGUCAUCAGCCCGUGCCAGGGAGAGUACUUUGUACAGGAUAGGUGACCCUGCCUUCCCGCAGCCAGGCACAUCAGGCCCUGACACAGGCUGCUGCUGUGGCCUCUGGGCUUGUCUGGCCUCGUAGUCCACACCCUAGGACUCAGCACAUGGUUUGGGGACAAGCAUGGCUGGGUUCUGGGUGAGAGUGGGAAGCAGAGAUGCCAGGUAACCAGAAACAAGCCGCAGAGGUGUGGGUCUCACCAGGCUGCCUGAGUUCGGCCCACACCAACUUCACUCGGACUUCUGUGCCACAGGAUGCGGGGGAGAUCCUCACUGGCCUGCAAUCCCAGCAGCAGACUUGAUCCCCUCCCUGCCCCUGUGUAUGGAGCCAGGAGAUCCCUCAUUGCCAUCCUACUGGCUGGCCUGAGCCGCCUGUUAGGGACCAGGCCCUGGGGAGCAAGGGCUGAGUGGAGGGCAGGGAUGGGCCCUGCCUCAGUAGCCUGCCUCCUCCUCGCCUGGCAUUGCCAGAGCGGCUGCACUGCGGUGAGGUGGGGUGUGCAGCUGAGAGGUCACAGUGAGAGGUGCUGCUUCAGUGCCCCCAAGAACCUCCAGUUAUCAGUGUCCCCAGGCCCCAGCCACGCUUGUCACCCAAUGUGUGGUUUUCAGGGAGACAGACUUGGAAUAACAAUUUGGGUUAUAGCUUAGGGCAGGUCAUGGUUUUAUAUGUUACUGGAAUUUCCAGGGAAAGUGUCACUGCUUUUUUUUUUUUUCUCUUUUCAGGAUAUUUGAGCAAAGUUUAGUGAUCAAAAUUUUGUAAACAUUAUUCCAAAGAAAUUUAAAACCCAUUUUAUCAAACCAUGGAGAGAAAUUCUAAUUUUAGCCAUAGUCAGUGCUCAUCUUUAUGAAAAUACACAUUUACUACAUUGUUCUCAUCAAUAAAAAAUAAACUGUGUCUAGG
ensembl:lincRNA